rnacentral:lncRNA from 1 species
UGGGGAACUAGUGGUCACUACUAGUAGAAUAACUGCCAAGGGUUCACAAGUUGUAUGAUACAUAAGCAUCACAAGCCGAGUAACCAUGAGUUUGUGGGUUGUACGACGCAUAAGUUUUCUAAGCUCUAAGUUCAUUAUGAAUGAUAGUUUUAUGUGUUGUCCCACCACGAUGGAGACCUUGGUCUUUUGAUCAUGUGCUGAGCUCGUGGGUUGUACGAUGCAUAAGUCCCAUAGUGGGCGUGAGUUGUGAUGGGCUGUGAUCGAGCGGAAUAUCUAAUCUCCUAACCUGGUGUCGGGGGAAGUAUUUGUAAAAAAAAUUUAAUGAUCAAGUCAGUUGAUUCCGAG